rnacentral:rRNA from 2 species
UCUGGUGUCAGCCGCCGCGGUAAAACCAGCACCUCAAGUGGUCAGGAUGAUUAUUGGGCCUAAAGCAUCCGUAGCCGGCUCUGUAAGUUUUCGGUUAAAUCUGUACGCUCAACGUACAGGCUGCCGGGAAUACUGCAGAGCUAGGGAGUGGGAGAGGUAGACGGUACUCGGUAGGAAGGGGUAAAAUCCUUUGAUCUAUUGAUGACCACCUGUGGCGAAGGCGGUCUACCAGAACACGUCCGACGGUGAGGGAUGAAAGCUGGGGGAGCAAACCGGAUUAGAUACCCGGGUAGUCCCAGCUGUAAACUAUGCAAACUCAGUGAUGCAUUGGCUUGUGGCCAAUGCAGUGCUGCAGGGAAGCCGUUCAGUUUGCCGCCUGGGAAGUACGUACGCAAGUAUGAAACUUAAAC